rnacentral:lncRNA from 1 species
GUACCCCAACUCAUUAUAGGGAAUGAAGCAGUAAUGAUUUCAAAGUCAAACUAAGCUAGGUAUAAAUCUUGUCUCUGGUAGUUAUUAGUAAUGUGCCCUUGGAGAAUGCACUUAUCCUUUAUGAGUGUCCUUUUUUUUUUUUUUCUGAGACAGAGUUUCGCCCUGUUGACCAGGCUGGAGGGCAGUGGCAUGAUCUCGGCUCACUGCAGCCUCCAUCUCCCAGGUUCAAGUGAUUCUCCUGCCUCAGCCUCCCAAGUAGCUGGGAUUACAGGCACGAGCCACCAUGCCAGACUAAUUUUUGUAUUUUUAAUAGAGAUGGGGUUUCACUACAUUGGCCAGGCUGGUCUCAAACUCCUGACCUCAUGAUCUGCCCGCCUCAGGCUCCCAAAGUGCUGGGGAUUACAGGCGUGAGCCACCAUGCCCAGCUCAUUUCUUUAUCUGUAUACUAGGGAAGGCAAUAUCUACCUUAUGGGGCUAUGAUGAGGAUUAAAUUAAGUGAGAUUACGUGUAAAAGUGCCAAGCAUAUUUCCUGGAACACAACUUGCUUAAUUCCCAUUACUUUUACUUCCAUAUUGCAUCCUUUAGGUGCUCUCUCUCACGUUAAGGAGACAUGCCUAAGUCCUUCGACUUCAUCUGCCACAGACUGGGCAGGAGCCUGGAACCCAACCCCAUUAUGAUACAAUUGAGUUCCUGGCAACAACCCUGACUGGAAGUGGCUGGGGACAGAGUGUCCCACGGCCUGGAGCAGAGCUUGUUAGAUUAAAGAUGGAAAAAACUGGGUCCAUCUUUAAGAGCUGCCAAGUGAACCAGGAACCACCCAUCCCCUGCAGGAAGGAACUGUUGUGUCAUUAAUAAUACUUAGCAUUGUCCUAGUGUUUUUCCAAGCUAAUUAAUUCUGCUCCAAAUCCCAGAAAACAAACGACUGAGUGAGUUGGAGACAGAUCUCGUUUCUGAGACAGAAGGGUAGAGAAGCGUGUCCUCUGCAGUGACUGGGGGAAGAGAAAAGCCUCAUCACCACUUCUUAGAGCCAAGUUACCCAGGGCAAGGAAAGGGCAUUGAGUCCUGGGGAUGGUGGGUACUUACCUCCCUAUCUGCAAGAUCUUUAAACAGGAACAGUCACCCAAAGUUGCAGAUACAAGAAGGCUCACCCAUCCCUAGGACACAUUGCCCAGAAGUGGCAGGUGUUGGUAAGCUGGCUUCAUGGUCCAGAUGGAAAAGUUUAUCCUUCUCUCUCUCCCUAGAGCACGGGACAAAGCUCAUGUGCCAGGACAUGACAUGUAGCUGACUGGUCAACUCUGUGCCAUUUAACUCCAUGGAUACUUACUUUACAGACCAGAAUCUGGGAACACCAAGAAUCCAACUCCAACUCCUCCCUUCAUGGGAGUGCAGAGUCAAGUGUGAGAGACCAAAAAGGCAGAAAGUUUCAUUGUAAAGAGAAAUACUCAGAUGAGGGAGUACAAAGGAUGUGAGGCAGUAUGGAAAGGAUUCCUGGAAAAGAAUAUUUUGAGCUGUUUGGAAAGAUGAUUAAAAACAACAAAACAAAGAAAUGGACAGAGGACUUAAAGUCAAGAGGCUUAAAGUCAAGAAAGGGCAAAGCACAUUCAGGAACUUGAACAUAGUUCCUUGGAGAGUUGGGGAAUUUCAGUUUGACAAUGACUCCUGUCAUCACAAAGGAAAGAAAGGCUCGUGACAAGACAAACAAGUGUACAAAUAUGUACAGCACGCAAUGAGGGCCCAGAGGAAGAAAGAAAGAUUAAAGGAUAGGAGAGACUACUUUUGCCUUGAGGGGAAGAAAGAAGUCAGGGGCUGGCUAACAGGGGGUGUGGAAGCCUGCAAACUACACUUCAUAGGCUGUGAUCAGCUGCCUUCUGGUUGGGCUCUGCCAGUGAAAAGCCUUGGGACAGGACUCAAAUGCUGGAGGGAAGGAGAAGUUUGAUUUUGCAUUGUUUUGGUUUUGUUUUACCCCUGCUUUCACAAAUGCCUCCCCGAGUGGUGACACAUCAGCGGAAGUGCAACUUCUGGCCCCCUGCACAGCUUCAGGGACCAUCUGAUAGCAGUAACAGCAACUGCACCUCCAGAAGAUCAGAAGCACAUGCAGGCUGGGCUUCUGUCAAAGGCUGGGAAGAGCUCCCUGGCCUCUGAGUUUCUCCCUUCUCCCUUUUACUCUUCUACCUCUUCCAAAAGAUUGUAACCAACUCCCUGUAUUAAAUCCCUCUCUGCUGGAAAUACCUCCAGUGCAAUCUA